rnacentral:rRNA from 1 species
AGGGAAUAUUGCACAAUGGGGGAGACCCUGAUGCAGCGACGCCGCGUGAGUGAUGAAGGCCUUCGGGUCGUAAAGCUCUGUCGUAUGGGACUAACACAAUGAAGGUACCAUGCAAGAAAGGAUCGGCUAACUUCGUGCCAGCAGCCGCGGUAAGACGAGGGAUCCUAGCGUUGUUCGGAAUUAUUGGGCGUAAAGCGGGUGUAGGCGGCUUUAUAAGUCAGGUGUGAAAGCCCGGGGCUUAACCCCGGAAGUGCACUUGAUACUGUUUAGCUUGAGUGUGGUAGAGGCUACUGGAAUUCCUGGUGUAGUGGUGAAAUACGUAGAUAUCAGGAGGAAUACCGGAGGCGAAGGCGGGUAGCUGGGCCAACACUGACGCUGAGACCCGAAAGCGUGGGGAUCAAAC